GUGCUACCCAGCAACAUGAUAGGAACAGCAGCUGCUACCCUAAUACUCUACCCAGAAUAAGCCCACUGGUGACUAAGCCGGCCUGGACUGCAGAGAACCCUGUAAGUCAUUUCUGAUAACACCAGACUGCAUUCAUCCUUGAGAAAGACACAAGCUAGCCAACCACCAACCAGAGGCGUAUUAGUUCUGGGAAGUUCUUUCCUAGGAAUAAACAGACUCUUGACAAUUUUAGCCAAGAGAAAAAUAUGAAGGCCUAUUAUGAAACAUCAUUAGACAGUUAAAACAUUGUCUCUUGUAAUUAAUACAUGCCAACUGACCUGCAGCCUGAGGUUAUUACACUCAGAGGAGGAAGUCGAUCCUCAGAGAUAGAAUGCCUGAGAACCACCAGGAAGGCUUGUUUCAUCAGGGAGCAUGGCCCCUAGCCUACUCUUCUAACGAAAUUGGUCAGGUUGGCCCCAGUAUUUACAUUUCUAACAAGUACGUCCAGGUGCCGCUCCUGUUGAUUUAGCUAUAGUUUGUAAACACCUGGGUUAAAGUCAAACAGAAAGAUAGGGGAAUCUAGAAACAUGGGCCACAAGAGAGGCUGAGCAGGCAGAGCUCUGCUGGGCAGGGUGUGAUGAAAGACAGAAACACCCCACCCUGCUUUUAUAUUCCCAGGUUCUUGGCUUCUUCCACAGACCAGCCGGGAACACUGGGUCUAAGGCUCACACCUUGCAAAAGCCACAAAAAGCUGUCUCGUAAACUCGAGUCCAGGGUUUGGCUUAGUGUACGUUUUGGCAGCACUGUUCCUUGCGUGAAAGGGAUCGCCCUACCUACUUGCUAAUCAUUAGCAGGCAGGAUGGAGAGCGCAUGCUCAGAACCCCAGCUUGGGAUGUGAAGGCAAGUUUGAGGCCAACCUGGGAUUUGUAAUGACACCUGUUCUCAAACAAACAAACCAAUGACUUGGUAAUUAGUUAAUUAAAAGGAAGACGCAGGAGCAUCGUGCUGCUGGAGGAAAAGGAUGAAUACUGAGAAAAGCCGGUUCCUGCUUACCGGCUGGCGGUAAGCAGGAUGUAAAGAGAAUAAGUUAAAAUAAAUAAGUAAAUAAAUAAACCCCACAGAGAGGUGUGCCUGGGACAACAGGAGCCAAGUACAGUCAUUUCUGGGAGGGGCUGGGACACCUAACUGUAGUUUGCACUUCCCAUCUAGAUACUGGGGGUAGGGAGGCCUUGUCCCUAGUCAGGACCCAAGUUUCCUGACCUAGAAAAUAAGGAAGCUAACUGGAUGUCUUUCACAAAUCUUUCUACUCCCCAAUGUCUGAUUUUUUUUGGUGGACUCCCCAAUGAAUCUCCAGGGGAAAGUCUUCCCUCACACGAUCAAAAAUAAAACAGAUCGUUUGGGGCACAUUCUGUACUGAAAAGACCAACCACAAACCACAAGGCUGGGAACCACGUAGCAACAAACAUUUCCUUUGGCUUCCAAACACAGAUGAACAGAAUUUAAAGGGAAGCUUGGGCUAAUAGGCAGGCUGCAAACCACCGUCUAGGGUUACAACCUAACUAUUUUCAGUUCCUAGGACAGACACUGAAGCUGCCAUAGUGCCCCUAGAUUUGGGUGUUGCACACUUAUGUCAUGUGAACACAUUACAAGACUUAUCUAGGUUUAAAAAUAUUACUUCAUAAGCCCUCUAAAGUGAUAUCAAGGAACACCGAAGCUAUGGUUGCUUUUGGUUAAGGGGCAGU
rnacentral:lncRNA from 1 species